AGCAAAGAAAGAAAUUCAUGUGAUAACGAUAAAAUAACAUAGCUCUAGAUGUUAGAUGAGCUCGCUGAGUGUUUGAACAAUGACUUUUAUUUUGGGCCUUAUACAAAAACUCCAAGCAGUCGACAGUCCUGGAAAUUUUCGAUGUUCAUGGAUUAAUGCAUAUGCCAAGCCAUGAGCCAUUGUCCUGCUCGACCUCACCCGGAGAAUAGCUUCACUAUGAUAAAGAUAGUGUUUAGCAUUAUAAGUGGUAGUCUCAUGAACUGGCAAGCAUGUAUGAGUCCAAUGAUCUGCCCCUUAAUAGAAUUUCUUUUGCUUCCUUGGAGUUCUGCCAGUGUCCAUCCCCUUGGAGCAAGAAACCUGUCUUCAUUCAGUAUUGCCAAUGCAUUUGCAAAAAGCAGGAGACCUUCCAGGAAAGUCCAGAAACCCAUUUUCUGCAACAAAGAAACAGAGACGAGAAGCAGUAAUCAAUUUAGAUGAAGCUCCUCAGGAACCUUCCCAAGAGCGAACGAGUCAACGACAGAUGCAAAGAAGAAAGGUUUCU
rnacentral:misc_RNA from 1 species